rnacentral:rRNA from 1 species
GACAGAGGGUGCAAACGUUGUUCGGAAUUACUGGGCGUAAAGCGCGUGUAGGCGGCCCUGUAAGUCGGGUGUGAAAUCCCACGGCUCAACCGUGGAAGUGCAUUCGAAACUACAGGGCUAGAGUUCUGGAGAGGAAGGUGGAAUGCUUGGUGUAGAGGUGAAAUUCGUAGAUAUCAAGCGGAACACCGGUGGCGAAGGCGGCCUUCUGGACAGUAACUGACGCUGAGACGCGAAAGCGUGGGGAGCAAACAGGAUUAAGAAACCCCUGG